GACGAACGCUGGCGGCGUGCCUAAUACAUGCAAGUCGAACGCAGUGGGGACGGGUGAGUAACACGUGGGUAACCUCCCAUCAGAGGGGAUAACACUUGGAAACAGGUGCUAAACCGAUACUGAUGGAUGGACCCGCGGUGCAUUAGCUAGUUGGUGAGGUAACGGCUCACCAAGGCCACGAUGCAUAGCCGUCUUGAUGGGCUGAUCGGCCACACUGCGACAUAGGCACGGCCCAGACUCCCACGGGAGGCAGCAGUAGGGAAUCUUCGGCAAUUGACGAAAGUCUGACCGAGCGACGCCGCGUGAGUGAAGAAGGUUUUCGGAUCGUAAAGCUCUGUUGUUAGAGAGGCGGUAUCUAGCCAGAAAGCCACGGCUAACUACGUGCCAGCAGCCGCGGUAAUUC
rnacentral:rRNA from 1 species